rnacentral:rRNA from 1 species
AACGCUAGCUACAGGCUUAACACAUGCAAGUUGAGGGGAAACGACAUUGGAAGCUUGCUUCCGAUGGGCGUCGACCGGCGCACGGGUGAGUAACGCGUAUCCAACCUGCCCACCACUUGGGAAUAACCUUGCGAAAGUAAGACUAAUGCCCAAUGACAUUGAGUGCAGACAUCUAAUCUCAAUUAAAGAUUUAUCGGUGAUGGAUGGGGAUGCGUCCGAUUAGCUUGUUGGCGGGGUAACGGCCCACCAAGGCAACGAUCGGUAGGGGUUCUGAGAGGAAGGUCCCCCACAUUGGAACUGAGACACGGUCCAAACUCCUACGGGAGGCAGCAGUGAGGAAUAUUGGUCAAUGGGCGCGAGCCUGAACCAGCCAAGUAGCGUGCAGGAUGACGGCCCUAUGGGUUGUAAACUGCUUUUAUAAGGGAAUAAAGUGGGGCUCGUGAGCUCUUUUGCAUGUACCUUAUGAAUAAGGACCGGCUAAUUCCGUGCCAGCAGCCGCGGUAAUACGGAAGGUCCGGGCGUUAUCCGGAUUUAUUGGGUUUAAAGGGAGCGUAGGCCGCAGGUUAAGCGUGUUGUGAAAUGUAGGGGCUCAACCUCUGCACUGCAGCGCGAACUGGCUUGCUUGAGUACGCACAACGUGGGCGGAAUUCGUGGUGUAGCGGUGAAAUGCUUAGAUAUCACGAAGAACUCCGAUUG